UGUCGGGCUGGUGUAGUGGUUAGUAUUUUCGCCUGUCAUUGACUCUGAGCGCGGACGACCGGGGUUCAAUUUCCCGCCUAAGAG